GUCGUGUCCUGAUGAAAAAGAUACACCUACGUUUUCAUCUUCCUCAAUCGUCUCAGACGAUUCCCCUACAUAGACAUCAUUUCCACAUUUCCAAAUUUCCGGUAACUACGUCGGCAACAGUAUUCAGACCAAUAAAAUACUCUCAAAACCCACGUCACCAAUCAAGCUUCCUGACUUAUUUUCUUCUCCUCAUACUAAACGUUUCUACAAACGAUGGUCUUCUCAUCUCCCACACCUUCCUCCAUCUCUCAUAAAUAUAUAUUGAUUCAGUCCGCAAUCUCACUAACUAUAGAUCGAUUCGAUUGUUUGGUUCAAUUUCGUCACCUCCAACUUCUGUACGAAAUACAAUUUUCCAGUUUUAAAACACAAUUCAACUCAGGAGCAAUCCGGGUAUCAUUGGUUCUUAAACGAUGACCAAAUCAGAACCGGAGUUGAACGCAAGAGAUCUUUUGCGUCAGGUAUGGCUUUGAAGACGACAGUGCCUGCGAACGCAACGGCUGCCCAAACUCGGAAGAAGCCUAUAUGUUGGUGACGAAGGACCUAAAGGCACUGAGAUAGUACAACUUUAUCGUCAGUAUGGACACUAGAGUGAUGCAGAUGAAAGAAACUCCUCAGAUAUUGAUUUCUUUGAAUAUAUUGAGGCUGUUUAAGUUACAUGGGAUCCAAAUGUGUCGGCUGGCCAGUAACCCUCCAAUGGCGACGGCCCUUUCAAUUCUCCCAUCUCCACCAUCUAUAUAUGACUCGCCUCAUUUAGACAGAACCCCUAUCAUGAACCACUCGAUUCUUCUUUUAUUAAUCAGGUGUUGGCUUACGCACACCAGUCUUACAAAAGAAGUGAUCAAAUAACUUACUACUCAAGUAAUUUCAAAGGAAAAAGAAAAAUAGGCCCCGCAAGUUUACUCUGAAGCUGACACACUGAGGAACCUAAAAUCAAGACUUGCAAAGGGACUGAUAAUCAAGUGCAGUAAAUGCAAUCUGAAAGGGGAUGCCUUUGUCUGCUAUAUCAGGUCUUGCCGGUAGGAUUAUGUAUGUUUUACCACAUUCUUUUCAUUCGCAUCUAAAUAUAUAAUUAAAAAAUACUUACCACAGUUCUAAUUCUAAUGUGAAACUAUUAUUUUUGGGUCCUUACAAGAAGAUUUUCUUCUACUUUAUCUGGACAUAUAGACAUUGCGCAUCAAGAGCUGAGCCCUUACCAAAAUUGUAUCAAAGCUGUUUUCCCCAUCAUAUUUUGAUACAAGACUUACAGUAUGGCUGUAUCAUUACUUUUUUUCAGAAUUCCUGCUGAGUUUUGUUCAUUGGAUAGUACAAAAUAUCUUUUUCUCUGUGGAUAUGCACUAUCACAGAAUGAGAAGGUUAGUAUUUAGUAAUAAACAUCUCUUCUUACCACAAGACAACCAAGAAACCCCAUCCUAUGUGGAUAUAUCAUACCUACUUUGCUUCAAAAAAACUUAUCUUCGCAUUUUAUUGCUUUCCCCCAUUGCCUGAUGGAAUAAUCCAUAUCAAGGUACUGGAACCCAAGUGUUACACAUGUGCUUGCUUCUAAGGAUGUGAAAGGAGCGUGUACAAGAACUGUGAAUGUUAUUAUGGAUAUUCUCAAUGGAAAAGGGA